rnacentral:misc_RNA from 1 species
GAUGAAGAACGUAGCGAAAUGCGAUAAGUAAUGUGAAUUGCAGAAUUCAGUGAAUCAUCGAAUCUUUGAACGCACAUUGCGCCCCUUGGUAUUCCGAGGGGCAUGCCUGUUCGAGCGUCAUUACACCACUCAAGCUAUGCUUGGUAUUGGGCGUCGUCCUUAGUUGGGCGCGCCUUAAAGACCUCGGCGAGGCCACUCCGGCUUUAGGCGUAGUAGAAUUUAUUCGAACGUCUGUCAAAGGAGAGGAACUCUGCCGACUGAAACCUUUAUUUUUCCAGGUUGACCUCGGAUCAGGUAGGGAUACCCGCUGAACUUAAGCAUAUCAAUAAGCGGAGGA